rnacentral:rRNA from 1 species
AUGCCAAGCCUGAAGCAGUACAAUUCCUUAGUUUUUGCCAUUGACAGGCAGCUGUUUGACCACCUCUCAGCAACAAAGAUGAAGAUCGGCAAGGCCCCAGCGCUCCUGAAGAAGGCAGCAGCUAUGUGCAAGAGCAAGACCAGCGUCUACACGGCCAGGCUUCUCGUCCUCGUCUCGCUUCGUCGCAGGAUGGCCACGGUCGGCACCAUUUCUCAAAGGAUCCAUGCCCUCACUGUGUCCAACCGGGAGAAGGAUGCCAAAGUGAACUACCACAAGGCUCUCAUGCUCCGCAAGGCCGAGAAGCCGACGUACCAUGGUGGCGAGAUGGCUAAUCCGUCCCACCAUUUAGUAUUUUUUGAUCAAGAGGUUGCUGCUGGUGGCUGCCCUGACUGGACACUGCACCCCAUUGUCAGCAAUGGCGAUGAUUUCAGUUACACUGACGAGUAUGGCGAUGAUCGAGAUGAGCCCUCGGUGAUGAAUUCAAUGAGGAGCAACCAGGAGGCUGAGGGUUUGGGAAUCAACGUGCAUGACGAUAUCGACCUGGCUGCCGAAAUGUUCAUCAGAAAGUUUCGUGAGCAGAUGAACGAGAGAUUUUCAUGA